rnacentral:lncRNA from 1 species
GUUGAUACAGUGUUUUGGGUGAACUUGACUGUGGUUUUCUUAACUAUUUUCUGAAUUGUUAGUACAACGAUGUCUCUUUACAAUAGUUACUGCACAGAGGCGGUCUUAUUUGAUCUUCUUCUCAAAAAAGGCUGUUUCUUUGUUGUUCUCAGGAAGGCGAAAUAUUCUUCCAUUUUCAGCCCAGCAGAGUGGAAUUUAUACCCAAACAUCCUCAUCAGAUUGACAAAGCAUCCUGCAGGGACAUCAUGGAGCUCAUUUAAUCUCUGGGAGAGAACGGCACAGACCUCUGUGGCCGAAGUGCUGGCAUCAUCUGUCCACGCAUCCAGCAUCAGCCAGCUGGACAGGCAAAGUGGAGGAAGGGACCGGGUGACCAGCGUGCGCGGUACAGAGAAGCCCAAGUGA